rnacentral:tRNA from 1 species
GAUCGUGUAAUUCAAUGGUUAGAAUCACCGUUUCAUACGCGGUAUGAUACUCGUUCGAAUCGAGUCACGAUCU